AAGGGUUUAAAAAUAAAAAGCAACGGUCAUACUAGCACUUCCCAGUUGAAUCUAGAUGUCAUCUUCACCUAUUCCCAACAGAAAAGAACUUGGCACCUAUGUCAUGCUACCAUGUUGGGAUGAAAUGAGGCUCUCCAUUUAACAAAGGAGGUUUACUUUGCCUUCACACAGUAAGGAAAUGCAACAAGGAUACAGAGACUUAGCUUUUCUGGAUAUUCAUUCCCUUCCAAACUAUCUCCAUCCGGAAACAUCUCUGGCCAGUCGGUCAUCUGGAUAUAGUGACAUGGCAUGGUCUCAGGCACCUAACAGUGUCAUGACCUAUAUGUCACAUUAGCAGGCAGUAUUCCAGAUCCUUCUGUGACUUUGAUGACUGCUGCAACAGUAGAACUUCAUUAGAACUUUUUGUUCCUGGAAAAGAUGGCCAGCAAGACGAGAGAGAAAAAUCCCAUUCGUGUCAUCUGAGGAGCUGAAAAAUCUCAUGUUCUCCAGAAUCCACAAUAAGACUGUGAACAGGAAGUUGUCAUGGUUCUGCUUCAAGCCACUAGCCCUAAAGUCUGCUGCUGCUUCUAUUCCUUCAUUAAAACACCCUGGGAAAUCCCCAAUUUGCCCAGAUUUAAUUUUCAA